UCUGUGUUAUCUGUGUCACAGAUAAAGAUAAUCUUUAUCUGUGUUUACUGUUUACAUAAGUUUAUAACCAUUGCUAAUGUUAGCUUGUUGCUUAUAAAUAUAUUAUCUUUAUAUUUUAAUAGUUAUAUUUUUUUUGUUUAUAUUUAUUUUGUGAGUACAGUAAUUGCACCUUAAGCAGAGCAGCUUUGAUGGUUGUUACAUAAGUAACUUACUGUUGACAAUUUCAAAUUAUUGUGUACAAUUUUUUUUCUUUAGUCGAAUCUACACAGCCUACCACUGGUAAGUUUGUAUAAGUUUGUAUAUGUUAAUGAUUAUAGAACUAGCGAUUACUUUUUAAUUUAGCAAUUACUUUUUCUGUGAAUAGAUUUUAAAGAUUACCAAUUUCUAAGUCAUUAUUUGCAAUAUUUAUUUUUUAUUACAAAUUUUGAAUUUUAGUUACAUCUUCGUUUUUAAAGAAUGUUCCUUUUACUUCUGCUAUAAGUGUUACAUCUUCAGCGGCUAAUAUGACUAGUUGGAUACGACUGGGCAAGAGAGGGGGGGCGUUUUGCGUGGCACAUGUCCCGUCCCUUAUGUCAACUUAUACACCACUUGUAUAUGAUGUAAAGUAAGAAAAUUUAAUUUAAACUUUUUCAUACAAAAUAUAAUUAUUGUUUUUUAGGUUCAAAUAUUUAUAAAAAUGUAGCAUUUCACUACGAGGGUGUUAAAACGUAACAAAGACAUCCACCCUUCAAUCUAAAUAGACCAAUAAUAUUUGGAAAUGGAACGGAAGUAAAUUAGAACAAUUUUUUGUGUAUAAAGAUGACAUAUUUUAUCAGAAAAACACUCUUUCGUAUCAAAAA
rnacentral:lncRNA from 1 species